GCAUGGGUUUGGAUUUGUGGCAGGUCGAUCCCAUGGGCCACUCACAGUGUCCCAUGCCAAAGCAUACUGGAACCCCGAACCAUUGCCUAGCUUUACCCCAUGGGCUUCAGGCACUGAAGCAGUUUGCACAGUG
ensembl:snoRNA